rnacentral:rRNA from 1 species
UAGGGAAUCUUCGGCAAUGGGGGCAACCCUGACCGAGCAACGCCGCGUGAGUGAAGAAGGUUUUCGGAUCGUAAAGCUCUGUUGUAAGAGAAGAACGAGUGUGAGAGUGGAAAGUUCACACUGUGACGGUAACUUACCAGAAAGGGACGGCUAACUACGUGCCAGCAGCCGCGGUAAUACGUAGGUCCCGAGCGUUAUCCGGAUUUAUUGGGCGUAAAGCGAGCGCAGGCGGUUAGAUAAGUCUGAAGUUAAAGGCUGUGGCUUAACCAUAGUACGCUUUGGAAACUGUUUAACUUGAGUGCAGAAGGGGAGAGUGGAAUUCCAUGUGUAGCGGUGAAAUGCGUAGAUAUAUGGAGGAACACCGGUGGCGAAAGCGGCUCUCUGGUCUGUAACUGACGCUGAGGCUCGAAAGCGUGGGGAGCAAACAGGAUUAGAUACCCUGGUAGUCCACGCCGUAAACGAUGAGUGCUAGGUGUUGGGUCCUUUCCGGGACUCAGUGCCGCAGCUAACGCAUUAANCACUCCGCCUGGGGAGUACNACCGCAAGGNUG